GUAACGCGUGGAUAAUCUGCCUUAGAGUGGGGGAUAACUAGUCGAAAGAUUAGCUAAUACCGCAUAAGACCACAAGAACUGCGGUUCAAGGGGUCAAAGGUUUUUCGCUCUAAGAUGAGUCCGCGUAAGAUUAGCUAGUUGGUGAGGUAAUGGCUCACCAAGGCGACGAUCUUUAACUGGUCUGAGAGGAUGAUCAGUCACACUGGAACUGAGACACGGUCCAGACUCCUACGGGAGGCAGCAGUAGGGAAUAUUGCACAAUGGAGGAAACUCUGAUGCAGCGACGCCGCGUGAGUGAUGAAGGCCUUCGGGUCGUAAAGCUCUGUCGCAGGGGAAUAACACAAUGAAUGUACCCUGUAAGAAAGGAUCGGCUAACUUCGUGCCAGCAGCCGCGGUAAGACGAGGGAUCCUAGCGUUGUUCGGAAUUAUUGGGCGUAAAGCGGAUGUAGGUGGCUUUGUAAGUCAGAUGUGAAAGCCCAGGGCUCAACCCUGGAAGUGCAUUUGAUACUGCGAAGCUUGAGUGUCGGAGAGGUUACUAGAAUUGUUGGUGUAGUGGUGAAAUACGUAGAUAUCAACAGGAAUACCGGAGGCGAAGGCGGGUAACUGGCCGAACACUGACACUGAGAUCCGAAAGCGUGGGGAUCAAACAGGAUUAGAUACCCUGGUAGUCCACGCCGUAAACGAUGGAUACUUGUUGUUAGAGGUAUUGACCCCUUUAGUGACGAAGCUAACGCGUUAAGUAUCCCGCCUGGGGAGUACGGUCGCAAGAUUAAAACUCAAAGAAAUUGACGGGGGCCCGCACAAGCGGUGGAGCAUGUGGUUUAAUUCGAUGCAACGCGAAGAACCUUACCUAGGCUUGACAUGUACUGGAAGACAGGCGGAAACGUCGUCGCUCGCAAGAGUCGAAACACAGGUGCUGCAUGGCUGUCGUCAGCUCGUGUCGUGAGAUGUUGGGUUAAGUCCCGCAACGAGCGCAACCCCUGCAUUUAGUUGCCAGCAUUCAGUUGGGCACUCUAGAUGGACUGCCGGUGUUAAACCGGAGGAAGGUGG
rnacentral:rRNA from 1 species